UUCAGCCAAGGUUGAAGGAGCAGUCUGGGUCACUGAACAUUGCAGCUUUGAGGCAGUUAAGUGGCUUGGCUCAUCUUUUCUCACUGUAUAAUGCAAGAGAUAUAAUUUUUUUUCCUGACAUGGCAUCUUUCUUCUUAGCAAUGAAGAAUAGUGCGUGCACAGGAAGAAGCCAGCUAUUAGCAUAUCAACCUGUCAGUGCCCUUGGGAGCGUCAUGUUGUCAAGAAAGCUCAAUAUAAAUCAGAUCAACAGGCCAUCAUGAGGUUCUGGAGGAGGAGGACUUCAGAAAGGGCAACAUAAACAGAAGAAUCUAAAGUGUCCUAGUCAAGGUGUGUUCAUCAUAUCAUCAACCUAUUAAAGCUCUGGGAACUAAGAAUGAUUGAUGAUCCCUGGAUAACUGCUUGUCUCGUCCUGCAAGUCGGCUCCCCACAACUGCUGUCAAAGAAGACUUUUGUUUCAACAAGAAUUCCACAGGUAAUUAAAUUUUCAUGUUAACUUUUUUACCUCCCUAUUAAGAUAUCAAGAGACAAACUCUUGUCCAUUGUAUUUAAAUUAAACACCCCAUAUAUGUCACUUGCAAACAUUCCGUGUACAGAAUUUUAUCUAGGAAAUUUCCAUGAUGAGUGAAAGACGUUAUAUCCCUUGGUGGCUAUGAUCACCCCCAGAUAUGGAAUUGGGGUGUAGAUAAUAAAACCCUUGCAUCUUUAUAAGUGCUAAGUACUCAAAUAAAGAGAAAGAAGGCCAGUCAAGCUGGUAACCAUGUUCUGGUGCCCAUCUGCCCAUAGUCAGGUAGUGGAGAAGGAGACUUCUGUCUGGAAUUGUAGGAGAAGUUUGCACAGAUGCUGAUGUGAGCAUUGUUCAAAGUACAAGGCACACAGAAAGCCAGUGCAUCUGCACUCAUGCCUUUUGACAUAGAUUCCAUGUUCAUCGUGGAAUAGGCAAUUUAUUAUAUUUUACAAUUUGAGUUAGGGAAAGGGUACAAUGGCACAAACAUUUGUAUUGUUCAUAUCAAUAGACCCAGAAUUCAAUGCCAUUCUUUCAAAUGUCCUGUAAUUCAUCAUAUAUAUGUCUAUAUAAUUCAUUUAUAUGUGUACAUGCAUAUAUAAUUCAUGAAGUUCAAAAAUCCCUUUGAUAGUGCACUAGAAAAUCCCAUAUUUCUUUAUUAGGGGAGGUAGAUAAUAUUAGCUAAAUUGCACUUAUAGUUUGACAGGGUUGACUCUCUGUAUAUUUAUUAUACAACUUAUAUAACUAAGGUCCCCGAGGUUACUUUUGCAAUACUUCAUAAAACUGCCUUUAUACUUGAAUAAGCCUUUAAUUACAAUCCUAAAAUACCUUUGUCAUCCUGACAAUGCUAUUUAAAGUGGUAGUGCAUGACUUCUCAAUAGAUUUUAAGCACAGAUUUUAAAAAAGGUUCUACAUAGCUGCAGUGUGUGUUUCCAUUCAUUCUGUCACCUCCACCCUUAUGCUCUGAGUAGCUCCGGUGCCUUCCGUGUAUUAUAUUAAUGUCUGUCACUUACUCACCACUUUUAUCCUUUCUAUUUUCAUCUUCUUAGCUCCUCUGUCAGAUGAACUUUAAAUUCUUUUCCUUUAUUUUAAUUUUCCAAGCCUUCUGUCUGAUCUUAUUUUCCUAGUAUUUAAUCACCUGCAACCUUUGCAAACUUUUCCUGUUGUCAUAAUCUUUUAUUUUCUAACACUCUCUGUUAGAAAUUUAUUUUUUUCAAAUUUUACUUCUUUUUAUGCAAAUGUUUCAAAAAAUCCCAUCUCGGCUCUGCUUUGUCUCUGAUAUUUCUUUGGCCAUUGCUAUAAAAGUUUCCCCCAUGGUUUCAUUUUCUUUUUUUUUUUCUUUUAUUAUCUCUUCUUUUCCUGUUUCCCAGAUUCUACUGCUCUGUAAUCUCCUCAUUUUUGAACUGAUAAUUAUAACUAAUUCAUUCUCUGAUUUUUCUCUGUUGCUUUUCCUACCCCCUUUUUUUGGACCUAGUUCUUUGCAAAAAUUAUAUAUAUUUUAUAUUAAAAUAUUAUAUAUAUAUACACAUAUAAUAAAAACCACCAAGCAAAGCCUACUCACUAUUCAAAGGAACAUUGGACUAUCAUAUCUGAACUCCUAAAAAUUUAUGGUAAGCAAGGCUUAAGAGACAAAUAAAGGAACAGAACUAGGCAUCACAUGCACAUGUUGAAGGAAGAGCAUACAGUCAUGUUGGAUUGCGUUCUGUAGAAUACUUGAUCUAAACACAGUAACUUUCUCUGUAGGUUCAAGAAAAUACCAAAUGACUUUUGGAUUCCUGAAAUUUUAAAUUUCCUAUCUUUAGUGGAGACAGGAAAGUUCAGUUUUUGAUUAAGCUAUGAUGCUUAUACUUAAAGGUAUGCACAAGUUGGAUUAUGCAAAGUAUUUGGGAAUAGAUAAUUUUUUCAUCCAAAGCAAUAUAUUAUUUGUGCAUAUUUGUCCUAUCAGUGAAAUAAAAUGGUACAAAACCAGUUGAUACUCUCCUGUCCAUAAUAAUAUGGCUCUUAAAUAUUUAUUAGUGGUUACCAUUUUGCUUAUGAAGUGUAAAAGGUCCAUUCAGGAUAUGUCUACAUAUCCUGCUUAUAGAUUCCCGGAUGAUGAGGUUGGUCCUGCUGUUGUUGUAUAUAAGCCCUCAGUAGAGGGACAGGGGAUCAUUCUCCUUGGAAGUGAGGUGCUUUGACACUUUAUGAAGAGCACCCUCUUACACACUGCAGCAAUCUACAUUCCUGUCAGAGUUAUGGACCUUGGAUUGUGAGGAGGAACUUGCUAUUUCCUUUGCCCCUUCUAAGUUUGCUCAUCCAUAAGAUGAAUUGUCUAUGCUCGGUGGGAUCUGAAAUUCUUUUCAGCAUCUUCUCCCUUGUCAUAAUGCUUCAAGCACGACCAUUAAACAUUGAUUUCUUUUGUUUUUCAAGGCUUUUAGGUUUUCAAGGGUUUCCAUUAAAAUGCAUACCUUAAGGGAGGAAGAACACUUUAGUGUGUUUUCAGCCCAUAUAUUUGUUGAGGUUUUGACUGAUAUCCUCAGGGGCAGAUGAGCUAGGAAUAAGACCUACAUGGAUUAAGCAGGCACAGAGGCUUGCUGGGAUCUGGGAGAAGUCCAAGUAGAGGUAGGUGAAGGAUGUGACACCUGCACAAAUAGCAGCAGCACACAAUGACAACACAAUGUAGCAACAUUAACAAUAAAGAUGACUUUAAAUGUUUAAUGCAGGGGGACAAUCAUAUAGUCUCAACUCCUGAUGAAAACGAGGAAGAAAGUCAUAACCUUUGAACCCCAAAAUCCUAAACUUCAUAACAAAUUUGUUUUUCUCUUUUAAAAAAGAUCUAUCUAUCUAUCUAUCUAUCUAUCUAUCUAUCUAUCUAUCUAUCAUCAAUUUUUUUUAUACAGCAUUCUGCUUGCAUGUAUGCCUGCAGCCCAGGACAUCAGUGGGAGGAGAGGCCCUUGGUCCUGUCAAGGCUGGAUGCAUCAGUGUAGGAGAAUGUUAGGGCAGCGAGGUGGGAGGGAGUGGGUGGAUGGGUGAGGAAGCAUCCUCCUAGAAUCAGGGUAAGGGGAGAUGGGAUAGCAGAUUUCUGGAGGGGAAAUCAGGAAAGGGGAUAGCAUUUGAAAUGUCAAUUAAAAAUAUCCAAUAUUUUUUUAAUAAAAGAACACCAAAUCUCAUUGUACAUGGUAUGGGCCUCCAUAUGGUUAGUAGGAGUUGAACUCCAGACCUCUGGAAGAGCAGCCGGUGCUCUAAACCUCUGAGUCAUCCCUCUGGCCCCAAAUUUGUUUUUUCAUAAGAAACAUUGGAAGUUAAAACAAGUAAUUUACCUGGGAAAAGGCUCUGGAGACCAAGUUCUAUGCCAGGGUCUUCCUUCCGUGGCUGGCUAGUUGGCGCUUAUUCAUUGUGACACUUAGCAUUUUUUAGACAGUGUACUGCAAAGGGAAUGUUAUUCUACACUGACUGUCCCACAAGGUCUUUAUCAGCAUUUUUCGUCAGUCUUCCUACUCCUCAGGGAAAGAUUCUUAUAUUAAAUUAUUCAGUAUUUUGACAGACAGCACAUAAGUAACAUGUCUCAAUGACAAGGAACAUAUGUGUGUACACAUGUAUGUGCUUCUGGCAAAAAAUAAUGGUGAAAAUAGUGUAUGGAUUCAUUUUCCUUUCUUUUUACCCAGAAGACUCUUUUCCUAAGUAUUUUUUAUUUCAAAUUGUUCUAUGCUUUUCUGUGAAAGUCAGGUCAAGCUAUUAGUCAUACUUACUUCUAAUACCUCAUGGUAGCCCUGCACAAUGUUCAACAAGUAGAAGUGUUUUCUGUCAAUCCAACGGGCUAGGAUUCUAUCUGCAAAGUGCAUGUGGUAGAACAAAAGAAUCAAAUCACAAAACUUGUUCUCUGAUCUCCAGAUGAAUGCCAUGUUGUACAUACAAAAUAAAUAAAAUAGAGAAGUAAAUAAAUAAAUGUAAAUUACACCAAAAUCCUUAAAGAUGCUCUUUGGCAAUCACUCAUGCUCUAACACUAGCUACUCAAUAGCAUAGACAUCUCUGCAGUCUAUACUUAUUUAUGUUUUUUUCAAGAUCACUGGAUAAUAUUAGAAAAAUUAUGUCAUUUUUCUCAGACCAGUUUUCAGUUACCUUGAAACAAAAUAGUUGUGCUAAAAAGUCUUUUAAGAUGCCCUCCAGCUCCAAAAUAGCAUGUUAAUGACAUGCCAAAAGCUCCAUUAAUCUGUUUGAAAGACAUCCAGAACAUAGAGUGUGCCAAAGACUAUGUAAGACAUUACCAAUACAAUUCUUUGUAAGUCCAAUACUAUGAAGUUGAAAUUCUGAGAGAAAGCUCAAGUUAGCUCAACAGAGAUUUAUGUCUGGAAGCUUCUACAAAUAUUCUCACUGCAUCUUGUCUAUAUACCCUGCCUUGUGUCUAUUGGAUCUCAACCUGCCCAGAAUUUUGCCUGCUCAUACCAUCAUGAACUGAUGCUCUUCCUCUUUCCUAGGGCCAAUGUUCUGCUAUAUCUCCAGAUACCCUAUAUCCAUCCAGCGCUUAGGUUUCCUAGUUUCUCUUCCCAUAUAUGCAGCUGCAGUAGAGGUAGAUUUAACUCCUUGACAAGAUUCUUCACCAACUGGUAUGCUUUAAGGUGUCUUUUGUCUUGAGUUAUGUGGUAUAAUAUUUUAAGAAAUGUGGGGAUUAUAGAGACUUUGGCUUAGAGGAAGAGAGGAGGAAAUUACAAGGCAAUAGAGAUAGUGAUGAAUGUUAAAUCUUCAGGCUGCCUCAGUUUCAUGUCUGUUUAUUGUGCCUUUGAGCUACUUGAGACUGAGAACCACAAGUCAGGUAAAUUCAUUGACUAGAUUAGAAUUCUAUUAUCACAUUAUUUAUACUGUUUGACAUCUCUCCAUGGAAAAAAUUUCUCCACAGGUUCUUGGCACAUACUCUCCUGGCUAUUCCAGCUUACCCUUUACUGACCCUCAUGUCUUCUGUGAUAAGUCUAAUGAUUGUACUUCUAUGUUUCCCAACUCUUACUCUUUUAAACUUCAUACAAAUAUAGCACUCUGAUAUUCCCUUCUUUGUAUUCCAUAUUCAUUACUCCUAUUUCAAUCUAAUUACUCAGGCUAAGUUUUAUAAAGCAUCUUCAUUUCUUCCGUUUACUGCUACAUUUACGCUGCUAAGCCCAUUAGCAAAUACUAUUAGCUCUACCUUAAAAUGUGUUCUAGAUAUAAUAUGAACUUAUAUUCACUUUUGUAUGCCUAUCAUAAACUCUCUGCUUGUUGUAUUAAUAAAAUUCUCUAAUCAAACUCCCAUAAGAAGAAAGGCCUCUUUCUAUGUUUAAUUCAAGAUAAAAUCUGUAAUGGUUGGAAAGUCAAUGAACAGGUUAAAACAUCUGGUUAUAUUGCACGCAGAAUUAUGAAGUAGAGAGUGAUGUAUGUUCUUUUGAUAGUGCUCAGUUUCCUUUCUCCUCUUAUACAGUCUGGAAUCCCAGCCAAGGAAUGAAACCACUCACAGUGGGUGGGUUUUCCUACCUUCACUAACUCAAACAAGAUACUACCAACAAUCAUUGUCCAUGUGAUGCUAGAUUCUGUCAGCUUGACAACUGAGCUAAAAAGUACAACUCUACCCCAUGUCAACUUGACAUCCAAUUUUUAAGGCAAAACCCCAUAGACAAUCAACUUAAGUGGCCUUUUUUUCUUUAUUUGGAAUGCCCUGUCUCAGGUAUUUCAAGACUGGGUUUUGAGGAUUUGCCUGUUAAUAAGGGUUUUCUCUAAUAACAGGAAAAACUAGAUCAUGCCAAGGAAAUUAUUUGUUCUAUUCAAAGACUUACUUUUUGUAUCAUUUGUCAUGACUUAAAACUAUAUUCUUAUUUAUAUUGUUAUUGUAUCAGCUAUUCACUAGGUCUAGACUAUAUAAUAGAGACCAUUUUUCAUCUGAAAUAGAUCCAGCCAUUAGCAUGUAUAACACGUAUUUGUUAAAUGCUAAAGCAAUGAGGCAGUAAAUUCUUUUAUCAAAGUUAAGAGGGUGAUCCUCAAAUGAAGGAAGUAGAUGAGAGCACAGACAAAAACUCUAAAAAUAUUCUUUGGUCUAUCAGUCUUCCCAUUCUUUACCUCUUCAACAUCAGAAGUUUCUAUACUCCCCUUCCUCUUGUUUUAAACUAUAAUUGUCUUAGCAAGAUUCACAGAGACCUUAGUUUAUAACAAAAGUGAUCAUCUAAGACAAAAGUAACUCAGCAUAGGGGAGAACAGUAAAGAUGUUAUGGAUUGCACCAGACAAAGAAUAGCAGCAAAUGACCAAGGUUGAGAAAAAAAAAGCCUUGUAGAGUCCUUGUAUAGAGAGGAAGACCACAUUGAUUAAGAACACAAAUGGUCUGAUUGGUUAUAGAAUAGAGUCAUGGGGAAUGAGAAGGUAAGAAAGGAAAUGAAUCAUGAACAUCCUUGUUAUGUGGCUGAUUUUAUCUGGUGAUGAGAAGAUUAAAGAAAUGCUAAAUCAUCUAAUGUUAAAAUUAAAAAAAAAAUUCCUUUCAACAGAAGCAGGGAAAGCAUGAUUUUUUUGAGUCUUUCUUUCUGUAGCUGCCUUCCCUUCCUCUUUCUGUAGUAUCAUUGAGUAAUUUGUUCUAAGCACUUUAAGUUGUUCAUCAACAAAUGUCACCACAUCAAUGGAAGUUAUUGAUGCAUGGUGGGAGGAUGUAUUUGCUGGUAUAUAUUAAACACCACGACUAUUUAUAUACUCAAGUUCAAAAUAUCAUUCGCUACCAUAGCAGGCACUCAUAGUUUAGAUUCUACAUAGAAAAUUGGUCUCUUACAAGGAAAAGGAGGAAAAAUCUUCAAGUUAUGGUACAAGUUUAAAAUAUACUACAAUCCAUUGUCAUUGUCAAUAUUCUGGUAAUGUGUUAAAUGAUGCAACUUGAGCCAUCAAAAUUCCAAAAAAAUAAUUCAUCUUGAAAAAAUGUAUAAGGCUCAUUGGUAGAAUCCUUGAUAUAAGAAGUUUAUUAACUAGACAGGUAAUUUUUUUAUUAACUUGAGUAUUUCUUAUAUACAUUUCAAGUGUUAUUCCCUUUCCUGGUUUCCGGGCAAACAUCCCCCUCUCCCCUCCCCUUCCUUAUGUGUGUUCCCCUCUCAACCCUCCCCCAAUUGCUGCCCUCCCCCCAACAGUCUAGUUCACUGGGGGUUCAGUCUUGGCAGGACCAAGUGCUUCCCCUUCCACUGGUGCUCUUACUAGGAUAUUCAUUGCUACCUAUGAGGUCAGAGUCCAGGGUCAGUCCAUGUAUAGUCUUUAGGUAGUGGCUUAGUCCCUGGAAGCUCUGGUUGCUUGGCAUUGUUGUACAUAUGGGGUCUCGAGCCCCUUCAAGCUCUUCCAGUUCUUUCUCUGAUUCCUUCAACGGGGGUCCUAUUCUCAGUUCAGUGGUUUGCUGCUGGCAUUCGCCUCUGUAUUUGCUGUAUUCUGGGUGUGUCUCUCAGGAGCGAUCUACAUCCGGCUCCUGUCUGUCUGCACUUCUUUGCUUCAUCCAUCUUGUCUAAUUGGAUGGCUAUAUAUGUAUGGGCCACAUGUGGGGCAGGCUCUGAAUGGGUGUUCCUUCAGUCUCUGUUUUAAUCUUUGUCUCUCUCUUCCCUGCCAAGGGUAUUCUUGUUCCCCUUUUAAAGAAGGAGUGAAGCAUUCACAUUUUGAUCAUCUGUCUUGAGUUUCAUUUGUUCUAGGCACCUAGGGUAAUUCAAGCAUUUGGGCUAAUAGCCACUUCUCAAUGAGUGCAUACCAUGUAUGUCUUUCUGUGAUUGGGUUAGCUCACUCAGGAUAAUAUUUUCCAGUUCCAACCAUUUGCCCACAAAUUUCAUAAAGUCAUUGUUUUUGAUAGCUGAGUAAUAUUCCAUUGUGUAGAUGUACCACAUUUUCUGUAUCCAUUCCUCUGUUGAAGGGCAUCUGGGUUCUUUCCAGCUUCUGGCUAUUAUAAAUAAGGCUGCGAUGAACAUAGUGGAGCACGUGUCUUUUUUAUAUGUUGGGGCAUCUUUUGGGUAUAUGCCCAAGAGAGGUAUAGCUGGAUCCUCAGGCAGUUCAAUGUCCAAUUUUCUGAGGAACCUCCAGACUGAUUUCCAGAAUGGUUGUACCAGUCUGCAACCCCACCAACAAUGGAGGAGUGUUCCUCUUUCUCCGCAUCCUCGCCAGCAUUUGCUGUCACCUGAGUUUUUGAUCUUAGCCAUUCUCACUGGUGUGAGGUGAAAUCUCAGGGUUGUUUUGAUUUGCAUUUCCCUUAUGACUAAAGAUGUUGAACAUUCUAGACAGGUAAUUUAAUGAAGACAAACAGAACACUUUGCCAAUAGGUUAAAAUGGUGUUAUUCAUGCAUGUUCUCUUUAAAAACAUAAUAGAAUGAAUGCCGUCAGACUUCCCAAGAAGAGGAGUGGAAAGAGUGGCAAAAAAAAAAAAAAGCAAAAGCAAAGUGUAAGUUCUCUGUCAUCUGUGUAAUUUCCUUCUAUUACAACUGUGGUUAUUGAUAUCUCAAGAAAUUUUAUGAAUUUUAUGGACUUUACAAUAUAAUUUAUCAAAGAAUAUCAAUGCAGAAUAAAAUUUUGGAAACCACUGGAAAUAUUAGGAAUGAAUGCUUCCAUAGAGGUGGUGAUUACCCAAUUAAAUGCAUGUAUAAAAACAAGUUUGACUAUGCAUUUUGGGGUGUACUUCCGUAAAAUUUGAAAGUAGAUUGAAAGUGAGAUUUGUCAGCCUAUUAAUAAUUACAGAUACAGGUAGUUGGUUUGUCUUUUUCUAGAGUAUGGUGCUGAGAAAUUGAAACUGAACCUAGGAUCCAGUUCAUGUGUAUGCACCAUCAUUGAGGUACAACCUAGAUGGUCAAUUUGCCUUUUAGAACACAGCUAGCCCGUGAUGAUUCUGCUGCUCUAACGAGCUAAGACAUGUAAAGUAAGCUCACCUCUAAUGCCCAGUCACAUGUGUCAAGCUUCUUGCUAAAGAAACCUAUUCCUGUCUGUGUCAAACAUAUUACUCCAUAAACUUGAGAAAGGACCCAAAUAGAGUGUGAGACAGACUUUCCUUUUCAUCUGCCUUGGCCAAGGCUUUCUGGAUUUAUUGAGAGUUGGAAAUAUUCUUUUAAAAUCUCAUAAGCACCCUAUCCUUUUUCUAUGCCUACUUUCUCUGUCACUGUUGAUCUGGCCCUUAUGAGAAUAUUGUGAGGUGGCUGCUAUGUAUUCUCCAUUAAAUGCCAGAAAGCACAGCAACCAAAUAGAGCCACUGUGUCCUACUACAAAGUCCCCACAUUCCAUGAGAGGUCUCCAGUUUUUCUACAAAUAUUCAGUUCUUCCACAAGCCCUCUCUAUUGCUCUGGACAGCUAAUGCCAGUGUAUUGUGAAGUCUGUGCUAAUGACAGACUGAAUAGAGAGAGGAGCAAAGAAGAAAUGGUAGAGAUGCUGAGCUAAGUUCCAAAACAGUGACAUUAACUGCUCUUUCCUGUCCACGCCUCGUCAUGUAGAAGGAUAUCUGAGGUAAGAAUGAACAGAGCACUCCAUAUUGCUGAAACCAGCCCAGUGGCCAUUAAUGGAAUAUUUCAUGAUUUGAAUUACCUCAGAUUCUUUCAGAGACUCCCAAAGUUAUAACAUCAUACUGCAUAAGUGUUUGUGUGGUUUUAUUAUGAUUAAUGACUAGCAUUUUAUGGUACCUAUAAUACCAAUGAGCCCCUGGGAGUUCUGGGAUGAUGCAUAAACUCUAAUAUGUAAACUAAUUAGAACUAACUCCUUUGUCCCAAUCAGAUCUAGAAAAGAGAUAAAAAUACACCAUAAAUGCAUCAAAUUUGACAUUGCUGGCAAAGAGGUAUAAAAGCAACAUUAUAGCAGGCCUGAUAAGGAAUUGCUUGAAAACAUUUUAAUGUUCCCUUUCUGUAUGAUAAUAAUAGACUGACCUUGUGCUGUCUAUAGACAUAACUGCAUAGGAAUAAUGUGAGGCCCAGUAGUAGGAGUUGCAAGACUUUGGUCAGUUUAGUGUAUGUUCAAUGACAGACAAUAUUUGAAUUAAUUGAAUUCAGAAAAUUACUUAGUUAAUCUGCAUUUCACAAAUGGACCAAAACAUUUGAGAAAACAAUAUAUGUGUGAAGUAUGCCUGAGCUACAUAAUAAAGCUUGUCUCAAAAAAUCAUUACAAAACCUUUCUGUUAUUAUCUGAAGACAUAGAAGAUAGGGUAAGUCUUCUCCUCAGCUAACUUCUUAGGAUAAUAGUAAGCAGCUGAUUUAACAUGAGAAAGCUGGUGGCUAUCUCAGAAAGUAGGGAGCAUAUAUUUACCUGCAUAUAUAAAUAUAUUUGUUUUAGAGCACAUAACCCUGGAUAUUAGUUGAUUGACUUUGUUGCUUUGGGAACCAUAUUUGAGGAAGCAGACCAUGUGAAGAAAUGAUGAUGAAGCAAGUAUUUACUUCCUAGUAGAAGAUUGAAAGAGGAAAACAGGAAAAGUAGUUCCCUCCUGUUUCACAGGCAUUUUCUCAGUGACCAGAAGACAUCCUACUAAGACCCAUGUCUUUUUUUGUUUGUUUAUUUGUUUUUUGUUUUUUGUAAGUUUAUUACAGCCAAAAAGUUUGAAAAUAGUAUAAAUUCAGCAGUAUUAAAGAAAAACAGCCCUCCACUUCCUAUAGAUUGCAUACCAUAGUAUAUUUUCUUUUUUUAAUUUUAGUUUAUUUUUUCCAUCUUUAUUAAAUUGAAUAUUUCUUAUUUACAUUUCGAUUGUUAUUCCCCUUCCCAGUUUCAUGGCCAACAUUCCCCAGCCCCUCCCCCUCCCCUUCUGUAUGGGGGUUCCCCCCAUCCUCCCCCCAUUACCGCCCUCCCCCCAACAAUCACGUUCACUGGGGGUUCAGUCUUGGCAGGACCAAGGGCUUCCCCUUCCAUUGGUGCUCUUACUGGGAUAUAGUCUACCAUUUCUCUGUAGCACCAAAUUCAGACUAACCCUUCAAAUAGGUUCCUUGAGGGAAGAGUCCAGAUUUAGGAACAGGAAUGCCUAGACCACAUUAAAUAAAUAUGCUCAUAGAGAUAGAUAUGUAAGUUUCAUUACAAGGCUUCCCCAUGGAAACUAAUGGAGGUGUGGUGAAGGAAGAAACCAGAACAGUGCAGCUCACAGCUCUAGUGAGUAAUCAUCAGGUCACUCCCACCAAAGAUUCCAGGCUUUUUUGAUUUAUGCAUAACAGGGAACUGGAGUGUGGCAUAUGGAAAGUCAUAUCACCAUCUGAUAACAGAAUGAAGUGCUUAUCUUAAUCUAAACUUUGCUAGCUUCAGUCUAUUUCCACCAGUAUUAAGAGGUGGGAAGUGAACAAACCCUUCUCAGGGAUAGGGCUAGGAAUUCUUAUUUAUGUUAUAUUGCAUUAUUUUCCCCAAAUUCUUAAUAUGUGUAAUGUUGCUACUUAAUGCAUGGGAAAAAGAUUUAGAGACUUUUACUAAAUUCUCCAAGCUCACACAGUCAGUUAUUUAUAGAACUCUAACGCAAAUAAUAGUUUAAUAAAUGUUCAUGCCUGAACUUUUCUUGCUGAAGAACAAAAUCACCGCUGAAGUGUGUAGAAAACCUCAUUCAUCAAGUCAAAGAAUGCCAGUUUAUCUUACAGGCAAAAUUGCAAGCCAGGCUAAGGAAUUUGAUGGAUAUUUUGCUGAACUCAAUGGUAUAGCUAGUGACCAAGGACUGACUAAUCUCCUUAUUUAUAAUCCUCAGUUCUGCCCAGAAAUAUAUUCACUUUUACCUUCAUAACUGUCUCACGAUUUAAUGUAUAAACAUUUAGCAUAUAUCAGGUCUGAUAUUAAGCAUAUCAUUGGAACCUAUCUGAAUAUAUGGCUAUUUGUCCUUUUCAAUGCAUAGGACAAAGAAAAGCAUCUAUGGAACCAUUAGGGAUGGCACACAGCAUAACCUCAUUCUGGUCCAUGUAUGAGGAAGAGGGCCUCCUUUGGCUACUAUGCAGGCAAAGUUUUCUGUGUUUGAGGUUAUCUGGGAUAAUUUUUAGAAUUGUUCAAAAGUUUUUAACAGCUGAAUGUGAAGGUAUAUUCAUAUACACACUGGAUCCUUACACUGAAUGCAGAAUAUAUUCAAAUACAGCUAAUGAGGUCAGAUGACCCUGGGGAAGGGGAUGACAACUCCUGAACAUGGUGGUCUGAGUGAAAUAUUAUAGAGACCUUUCUUCUUUUUUAUGUAGGGUAAAUGUAUUCACUUCUUACAACUCUCAACUUUAGAAAAGCCAAGGAGAAGAUAAUCUCUCAUCUCUUGCAGUUUAUUUAUACUGAACCCUUUAAGAUGUAGAAGGUUAAUUCCAGACUUGAAGAAAGGAACUAUUUGAUGUGUGGUACAGCCAAAGACCUCAUGUCAAAUACAGCUAUCUACUAUUUUCUUAACAAGUUAGGUGGUGAGACGACUUACCCUACUCUUCUUUUCCUCAGAUAAUACAAGAAGGGGUUUGUAUGCUUUUUGAGACAGCCUCUAUUAUAUAGCCCAGGCUGGCCUCUAUUAGAACCUGGAGUGCAUUAUUUGGGUCCUUUAUAGAUUUCAAAGUUUUCACAGAGAAUUUAUCUAUUCUUCUGAUGUAUUAUCCUUUGUGAUGUGUUUUAUAAUUUACUUCUUUAUUUCUCUUGCAGCAUUCAAAACAAUUUAUUUGUUCUGUAUACUCAGUUUUUAAACUAUGAUAUGAAAUGUGUCUUUUUAUCUUGCAUAUUUACUGUUCUGUGUGUUUCUUUUAUUUGGAUGAGUUCAUCCAUUCUUUGUCUGAGUAAGUUUUCUUCUACAAUCUUUUUGAGGAUAUGAUCUAUGUGAUUGACCUGGAAUUAUUUUCCCUCAUUCAUUCCUAUAAUUAGAAAGUUUGUUCUUUUCAUGGUGUCUUACAUUUCCUGUAUGUUCCUUACCUAUGUGAAAAUUUUUUCAUAUUCUUUGCUCAUCUUUGAGUCCUCAUGUUCUAUCUUCAACUCAAUUAAUUCAACUUUUAUUUGCGUUUUCUAGUUAUGCUAUUGGAUUUUUCAAUUCUAUAUUUAUUCAUCUGGAGUCCUCUUCAAAUUUUGUAUCUCUUUAUUUAUAUUUCUGUUUCCAAAUCUUGAAUUGCCUUUCCUAUUUUUAUCAACCUUGUUUGUGUGUUCUGGAAUAUCAGUCAAAUAUUUAUCACGUUUAGUUCUUUCUCUUUAAGUUCCAUGAGAUGUUUCUUUGUGUCUGUUUUAAACAUCUCGAAUUAUUUGAUUAAGUUUAUGAUUUAAGUUUGGCAUCCUGAGAUUCAUCUAGGUAAUUACCCCUGGUUACAUUUAUAAAGGAUUGGUGGGUUUUGGUAGGGGAGAUACUUGCUUGAUCUUUCAAACUUUUUGUGAUGCAAUCUGGAUAGAGUAGGAUGGACAUCAUCUAGUUGAAUGGAGAGGUUGAAUGUGGCAUGGGAGAGACUUGUAGGUCAGGGACAGACAGGGCUGGUUUUCUGUGGUGUAGGCAGUAUAGUGAGCUUGGUGGUGGAUGGACAUGGGGCCUGAGCUAGAUCUACUGUGCUGAGGAGGAUGUAUAGAGGGGAGGAUCAGGUAGACUUAACCCAUUAGAUCCUGGAGAAGAGUGAGUAGUCACAGCUUAAGUAAUGAAUUCCUAGUACUUAAUACAGUCACCUUCCAGAUGCAUCAUUGAUUUAUUCCAGAAGCUUCCCUGGCUUCUGUUCCUUUCAGAAAUUAUUUUUUCUUAUUUACACAAACACUGUUGAAUAUUGGAAGACCAUCUUGGACUCAUUCCCUAACAUUUCAUUAUUGGUCAGUGAGUCAUUUGCCUGCAAAAGGGGAUUUUAGGAAGUGUUUCUGAUGACUUGGUUACUUCAGGAGUAAUAGCAGAGUCCCUUCAUAAUUGAAUGGAAAUGAAAUAUAUUUGGCAAUAGGAGCAAUGAAAAGGACACAGACAAAAAUCUGUUUCCAUAUGUUGCUACUACUCACCUGGAGCUGCUACAUCUUAUCAAGGUCAAGGGUAGACAUGAGCUGCUGCAGCCUGUCAUCUUUUUUCUCUUUUCUGUCCUUUAUGCUUUCCCUCCUUAAUUAUUAUCCUUUCAGCAAAAAUUUUACUUUACAUUAUUUUUUAUUUUAUUAUUUUGUAUUGCAUAUUUUAUGUUUUUACAUUUCAAAUGUUCUCCCCUCCCUUCCCCCUUCCCUUCCCCCCUUUGUCUGCUUCUAUGAAGAUACUCCCACUCUAUUCCACCCACUCCCACCAUAAAACCCUGGCAUCUCCCUACACUGGAGAAACAAACCUUCACAGGACCAAGUGCUUCUUCUUUAAUUGAUGCCAGACAAUGCCAUCCUCGGGAUUAUUCCCCAGGAGCUCUGCAGGGUCUGAUUGGUUGAUAUUGUUGUUCUUCCUACAUUAUUUUUAAAAUUUACCUUUACCCUCUGGUAUACUAUCUCAGUUUGUUAAUACAGACUAUCAUCCCUCUUUUCCUCUUUUUUAAAAAACAUGUUUUUCUUUGCCUCCUGUUGGCCAUUUUCUUUUUCCUAUUCUUUUUGAACUCUUUUGAUUAUAUAUUUUAACAAAAAUAUUUGUGCUUUUAAUUCUCCUUUCUUAAACUUAUUUAAUUCUGUCUUAAACUUUCUCCCUAUUUGAUAUUUUGUUUCCUUGUAAGUACAUUUUUAGUCUCUUGCUCUUUUUUCUCUUCAUCCCAUCUUACUCUUCUUUCCCUUUAUUUCAUUAUUUUCCUCUCUUUUCGGUGGUUCCAUAUUUGUGCUGUUUGCAGCCAAUUGCUUUCUCCCUAGUGAGACAGGCUGAUAUUGACCACUUAAUAGUAGGGCAAUAAAUUAAAAUAUCCUAAAGUAAAGCGAAAAUAGGAAGAUCAAACUGAAAAGAUAUUCAAGCUAAUCAAUGACCAUGUCACAUCACAGAAACCAACACUCAAACAACAAAAAACUUAAUAAUUCAAGUAAUGAAUUUGGCAUUACCAGAAAUGGUACAAAACAAAGAUUUCAAACGUUACUACUGAAAGGAUAUUUAAAAAGACACAAAGAAAAUCAAUCAAUCAAUAUGGAGGAAAAAUUACAACAUAGAGAAAAUAUCAGCAAGCUAUGUAAAAAUAAUCAGCAAUAUUGAUGAAAGAUACAAAAAAUCAGGAAGGAAAUUGACCACUAACAUAGUUUUGGGAAUAAAAUUCUCACUUAAUCAAAAAAUGUACUGUAAAGUAGGAUCAAUGGUCUUGAUUAAGAUAAGACCCUAAAUCCACUGAGCAAAAUGGAACUGAGAUAACGUCUAACAUCAUAGAUAAUCUAUUCACUGAAAUCAUAGUGAAAUUUCUUUACUUCCAGAGAAAGGGGUGCAUGCCCAAAUACAAUAGAUAUUUAGAAUCUCAAAUAGACAUGACAGAGAUGAACCAAGAACAUGGCCUGCUUUAAUCAAGAUGUCAAAAAUAUAAAAUAAAGAUACAAGAGUAAAACCUACAAUGGAAUACAGAAUAUACCUACAAAGACAAAUAUCUCACAAUAAUGUCAGAUUUCUCAUUAUCAAUUAUAAAGUUCAAGAAGGCAUGAGACAAUAUAUUUCUAGCCUUCAAAGUAGUUGAUUGCUAAACAAGAUUGUUAUACUCAGCAAAAUAUCCUUUUUAUAGAGGAAAAUCUGUAUAUUUCCAAAAGACAUAAAUUAAGGAACUUCAUGGUCACCAUACCAGCACUGCAGAAUACUAAUCACACUAAACAGAAUACUGUACUAGAUGCAAAAGAGAGAGUCUCAACAGUGACAAAAUAGGAAAUUACAAAUUUCAGGAGUGACUAGAUCACUAAGAAACUUAGAAGGAAUGUGUAAAAUCUAACACUGGAAACCAGCAAUACUAAACAAACAAACAAAACCCCAAAUAAAACCAAACUAUAUUCAAUGUUUUGCUGUCUUGUAAAAGCACACUUUCUUUUCAAUGAUAACCACAACAUGAGAAUCAAUGGGUGGAAGGCUAUUUAUCAAAAGGAUAGAAAUGGGGUGGGGGGAAGCUACUCUAAUAUAAGGCAAAGCAGAUCUUAAGCUAAAAUGAGUAAGAAGAGAUAAAGAAUACUGAAAAUUUUUCUGGUCUAAUUUGUUUGGUGUUCUGUAGGCUUCUUGUACCUUUAUGGCCAUCUCUUUCUUUAUGUUGGGGAAAUUUUCUUCUAUGAUUUUGUUGAAAAUGUUUUCAGGUCCUUUGAGCUUGGAAUCUUCGUUCUCCUUUAUUUCAAUUACUCUUAGAUUUGGUCUUUUCAUCAUGUCCUGAAUUUCCUGGAUGUUUUGGGUUAGGAGUUUUUUAUGUUUUCAAUUUUCUUUGACAGUUGUGUCAAUUUCUUCUGUGGUAUCUUCUACACCUGAGAUUCUCUCUUCUAUCUUCUGUAUUCUGUUGGUGGAAAUUACAUCUGUAAUUACUGACCUCUUUCCUAGGUUUUCCAUUUCCAGGUUUCUUUGUGUUUACUUUAUUGUUUCUACUUCCACUUUUAGGUCUUGAAACUUUUUUUUUAUUAACUUGAGUAUUUCUUAUAUACAUUUCGAGUGUUAUUCCCUUUCCCGGUAUCCGGGCAAACAUCCCCCUCCCUCCUCCCCUUCCUUAUGGGUGUUCCUCAUCCUCUCAUCACAUAAUAAUCAAAACACUAAAUGCAUAUGACAAAGAAAGAAUAUUAAAAGCUGUUGGGAGCGAUGCCCUUGAAGCCCUCCAUUAUUGGUGUUAUUAUUAUUGUUAGUUAAGUAUGACUGGGUUCAUGGAAAAUCCCCAGCCAGAUGCAGAAGACUAAUACAAAUCUGGUGGUCAAAAUGAAUAAUAAUAUGAUACAUCAAGAUACCCAAGAUGAUGACCUGUAACCCUUCUGAAAAACCAACAUCCUGCUGACUAACAGAUAUGACAAACCUGUGACCUUUCUGACAUCCUGUCAACAUCAGCCUAUUCCCUGACCACACAAAUAUUGUGUCCUUGGCCUGCAUAAAUGUUUCUUAUUCCCCUCUCCCUCUGUUACCCCUGUUACAGUAUAAAUUCAGCCUUGGAGAAAAAUAAAAUUGUCGCCUUGAUCAGAAAAAAAAAAGAAUACUGAAAAUUAAUAAAGGAGCAAUCCAUCAAAUGGUAACAAUUGUAAAAACAUGUACUGAAUAUUGAUGUUUCUAAUUUAAUUAAAAAAUGCCAAGGGGUGUGAAAGGUCAUCUGGAUUGUGCUCAAAUCACAGUGGGUUAGUCCUAUACUGCUCUCUCACUCCUAGAUAGCUCAUUCAAAUUGAAAAUCAACAGGAGUUUCCUGUAGUUCUUUGUCUAAACCUAGGAUCUAGGACACAUGUCCCCACCACAUUAGCAUGUCUAUUGAUACUUUCAUUGUUCCAGCUUUAUGUAUGCAGUCAUUUCUAGGAGAUACUGAUUUACGACAAAGUUCCUGGUAUUCUGGGCCUUACAAUCUAUCUACCCUCCUUUUCUGUGAUUCUUGAGCUACAGAUGUAGAAACUGUAAUGUAGAUGCAUCCAGUGGGAUAGCUUCCUUAGGAGCCAUUGUGACUAGGGAUUGGUAGGAGAAGAAUCGACCUAUCCCAGAGGGGUAUUCAAAAGAUAAACAGGCUAUCAACUCUACAAAAUAUGUACGGAAGGUGUUCCAGGGAGUAACUACUAAAGGCUGGUGGGAGGUAGAAGAAGAGGAUAAAUGAUAUAAUUUUAUUUCAAUAAAAGCAGUAGAAAAAGUAAAACAAAAAAAAAACCAAAAAAGAAACCAAAACACUCCUUCAUUAAGAGAAAUAAAAUCAACAGAAAUUUCAGAGUAUGCUAGGAUAUAGAAUGAAUGAAAUUAAUAAAUUACAGAAUAUUCCCUCCAUCAGAAAUAAAACAACAGAAAUAUGUGUUCCAAAAGAACACAUAUUUUCCACAGCAUACUACAGAAAGAUUUCUCUAAAAUAGACUUCAUACUAGGACACCAAAAAAUUCCAGUUUUCAUUUUAUCUGCUAGUUUCAUCAAAUCUAAAUAAUAAAUGAUUGUAUUAAGUUAAUACAUUUUCAUAAUCACUAUGUUGAUAGAUACCUAGGCCCCUUCUAUUUUCUACCUAGAGCAGCAACAAGCCUAGAUGGAUAGGGGUCACAAUAGUAGGAUACAGAGUCUUUGGGGCUUUAUGUCCUAGAGUCAUAUAGCAUUAUGUGGAAAAUCUACUUUUAGCCUUCGUCAUCAUUUGUGUUUUGAGUCUUGGCCAUUCUUACUAUUGUAAGAAGAACCUUCAAAGUAGUUUUAGCUUGCUUUCCCUUGAUGCUAAAGAUGUUGAACUCACACACACACACACACACACACACACACACACACACACACACACACACA